rnacentral:lncRNA from 1 species
CUCCUUGGAAUAUAUGUUUAUUCCUGUGCUUCCAUAAUUCACUAACUACAACAAUCCAAACACAAUUCCAGACUACAUUAACCUGGACAGGAGCAUUUAGCAAAUUAAAAUGCAAGAAGUGAGUUGUUGGGACAACAUGGUCAACCGAUGCAAUCCCUAACCAUGUAUAACACUGAUUCCAGACUAACCAGACAAUCCUGCAAUCAAAAAACAUGUGUUUUGUCGACUCCACAGCCAUCCUGCAAAAACUACAUAAAUUGGUAUCCACCAAAACCCCACGCCUCUCC